rnacentral:rRNA from 1 species
UGGGGAAUAUUGCACAAUGGGCGCAAGCCUGAUGCAGCCAUGCCGCGUGUAUGAAGAAGGCCUUCGGGUUGUAAAGUACUUUCAGCGGGGAGGAAGGGAGUAAAGUUAAUACCUUUGCUCAUUGACGUUACCCGCAGAAGAAGCACCGGCUAACUCCGUUCCAGCAGCCGCGGUAAUACGGAGGGUGCAAGCGUUAAUCGGAAUUACUGGGCGUAAAGCGCACGCAGGCGGUUUGUUAAGUCAGAUGUGAAAUCCCCGGGCUCAACCUGGGAACUGCAUCGGAUACUGGCAAGCUUGAGUAUCGUAGAGGGGGGUAGAAGUCCAGGUGUAGCGGUGAAAGGCGUAGAGAUCUGGAGGAAUACCGGUGGCGAAGGCGGCCCCCUGGACGAAGACUGACGCUCAGGUGCGAAAGCGUGGGGAGCAAACAGG